rnacentral:misc_RNA from 1 species
GAUGAAGAACGUAGUGAAAUGCGAUAAGUAAUGUGAAUUGUAGAAUUCAGUGAAUCAUCGAAUCUUUGAACGCACCUUGCGCCCUUUGGCCAUUCCGAAGGGCAUGCCUGUUUGAGUAUCAUGAACACCUCAACUCUUUAUGGUUUUCCAUGAUGAGCUUGGACUUUGGGGGUUUUGCUGGCCUAUGGUCGGCUCCUCUAAAAUAAAUCAGCUUACCGGUGUUUGGUGGGUAUCAUGGGUGUGAUAACUAUCUACGCUUGUGGUUUUUCCACCAGGUAACCUUCGACAGCGGAGGUUCACUGGAGCUCAUAGAUGUCUCUCCUCAGCGAGGACAGCCCUUUGAAUGUUUGAUCUCAAAUCAGGUAGGACUACCCGCUGAACUUAAGCAUAUCAAUAAGCGGAGGA